AUUGAACGCUGGCGGCAGGCCUAACACAUGCAAGUCGAACGAGUGGCGGACGGGUGAGUAAUGUCUGGGAAACUGCCCGAUGGAGGGGGAUAACUACUGGAAACGGUAGCUAAUACCGCAUACCAUCGGAUGUACCCAUAUGGGAUUAGCUAGUAGGUGGGGUAAGGGCUCACCUAGGCGACGAUCCCUAGCUGGUCUGAGAGGAUGACCAGCCACACUGGAACUGAGACACGGUCCAGACUCCUACGGGAGGCAGCAGUGGGGAAUAUUGCACAAUGGGCGCAAGCCUGAUACAGCCAUGCCGCGUGUAUGAAGAAGGCCCUAGGGUUGUAAAGUACUUUCAGUGGGGAGGCGUUACCCGCAGAAGAAGCACCGGCUAACUCCGUGCCAGCAGCCGCGGUAAUUC
rnacentral:rRNA from 1 species